rnacentral:hammerhead_ribozyme from 1 species
AUCCAGCUGUCGAGUCCCGAAUAGGACGAAACGUGCGUUCUGAAC